AUUCUUUUAGUAUCAAUUAGUACAGCUGACUUCCAAUCAGCUAGUUCCGACAAAACCCGGAAAAGAAUA
rnacentral:tRNA from 1 species